ACGAACGCUGGCGGCGUGCUUAACACAUGCAAGUCGAACGGAAAGGCCCUGCUUUUGUGGGGUGCUCGAGUGGCGAACGGGUGAGUAACACGUGAGUAACCUGCCCUUGACUUUGGGAUAACUUCAGGAAACUGGGGCUAAUACCGGAUAGGAGCUCCUGCUGCAUGGUGGGGGUUGGAAAGUUUCGGCGGUUGGGGAUGGACUCGCGGCUUAUCAGCUUGUUGGUGGGGUAGUGGCUUACCAAGGCUUUGGCGGGUAGCCGGCCUGAGAGGGUAAACGGCCACAUUGGGACUGAGAUACGGCCCAGACUCCUACGGGAGGCAGCAGUGGGGAAUAUUGCACAAUGGGCGGAAGCCUGAUGCAGCAACGCCGCGUGCGGGAUGACGGCCUUCGGGUUGUAAACCGCUUUCGCCUGUGACGAAGCGUGAGUGACGGUAAUGGGUAAAGAAGCACCGGCUAACUACGUG
rnacentral:rRNA from 1 species